CUCUUAUCAAGAGAGGUGGAGGGAUGUGCCCUAUGAAACCCGGCAACCAUCAGUUCAUAACUGAAAUGGUGCCAAUUCACACAAAACAAUCUUGUAUUGUUUUGGAAGAUGAGAG
rnacentral:ncRNA from 2 species